rnacentral:rRNA from 1 species
AGUGAACGCUGGCGGUAGGCCUAACACAUGCAAGUCGAACGGCAGCACAGGAGAGCUUGCUCUCUGGGUGGCGAGUGGCGGACGGGUGAGGAAUACAUCGGAAUCUACUCUGUCGUGGGGGAUAACGUAGGGAAUCUUACGCUAAUACCGCAUACGACCUACGGGUGAAAGCAGGGGACCUUCGGGCCUUGCGCGAUUGAAUGAGCCGAUGUCGGAUUAGCUAGUUGGCGGGGUAAAGGCCCACCAAGGCGACGAUCCGUAGCUGGUCUGAGAGGAUGAUCAGCCACACUGGAACUGAGACACGGUCCAGACUCCUACGGGAGGCAGCAGUGGGGAAUAUUGGACAAUGGGCGCAAGCCUGAUCCAGCCAUACCGCGUGGGUGAAGAAGGCCUUCGGGUUGUAAAGCCCUUUUGUUGGGAAAGAAAUCCAGCUGGCUAAUACUCGGUUGGGAUGACGGUACCCAAAGAAUAAGCACCGGCUAACUUCGUGCCAGCAGCCGCUGUAA